UGUGUGGGUAUGUUUGGUGGUGAGGAUGGGGUUGGCUGUAAUGGGAUGGAGCCCGAGGCCUGAACCAAGUCCCUGACUGAGCUGUCUCUACUUCUUCCUUCUUCUUCUUUCCAAAUGUUCCCCCAGUCCCACUUUGGAUAGCCUGAGUGGUUGAUUUGAUUGCAGAGUAACUCAUGAUCUUGUUGGAUUUGAGUCCUUCCUCGACCAUACUUCCCUGAACCUUUCAUGGAUCCUUCAUUAUCUUGUUGGAUUUGAGUCUUUCGUCGACCAUACUUCCC
rnacentral:lncRNA from 1 species